rnacentral:rRNA from 1 species
CAGGAUGAACGCUAGCUACAGGCUUAACACAUGCAAGUCGAGGGGCAGCAUGAUCUUAGCUUGCUAAGAUUGAUGGCGACCGGCGCACGGGUGAGUAACGCGUAUCCAACCUUCCCCUUAGUAGGGCAUAGCCCGGUGAAAAUCGGAUUAAUACCCUAUGUUGUGUCAUGAGGACAUCUGAAUAACACUAAAGAUUUAUCGCUAAGGGAUGGGGAUGCGUCCGAUUAGGUAGUCGGCGGGGUAACGGCCCACCGAGCCCUCGAUCGGUAGGGGUUCUGAGAGGAAGGUCCCCCACACUGGUACUGAGACACGGACCAGACUCCUACGGGAGGCAGCAGUGAGGAAUAUUGGUCAAUGGGCGUAAGCCUGAACCAGCCAAAAGUAGCGUGCAGGAUGACGGCCCUAUGGGUUGUAAACUGUCUUUUAUACGGGGAUAAAGGGAGGGACGUGUCCCUUAUUGUAGGUACCGUAUGAAUAAGGACCGGCUAAUUCCGUGCCAGCCGCCGC